AGGGUCAGUGCUUUAAACCGGAUCCUGGCAGCGACCGGUAGCCAGUGGAGUGAUCGCAACAGAAGAGUGACGUGGGAGAAUUUGGGAAGGUUGUAGAUGAGUCGGGCAGCGGCAUUCUGAAUCAUCUGUAGUGCCUGUAUGGCACAAGCUGGCAGGCUUGCAAGGAGAGAGUUGCAGUAAUCAAGGCGAGAGGUCACCGUAGCCUGGACGAGCAGCUGGGCGGAGUGCGUCGUCAGGUGACAACCGACAGGAGAAGAACGUACAGGGGUGAAGUUUUUGGUCUGUGGCGAAGCGUUGGGACAGGACAGCUCCCACACCUGUAUCGGACGCAUCUACUUCGACGAUGAACUAGCAGGUCGGGUCAGGAUGGAUGAGAACAGGGGCUGAGGUGAAUCGCUUCUUCAGCUCAAACACUCACCUAAUGGCUCAAGUAACAAAGACAUUGCUCACUUUGGACCCUGAAGCUGUGCUCACACUAAAACAUGGACUCAACUUCAAGAAAAAUCCAAAAGAUGGGAAAUGUUACAUCAUUUACAAGGAUGCAGAUGGUGUGAAGGCAUGUAGAAACCAGUGUAAACACCAAGGAGGACUGUUUAUCAAAGACAUAGAGGACCUGAAUGGAAAAACAGUGCGCUGUACUAAACAUUACUGGAAACUGAAUGUGUCAACCAUGGAAUAUGUGAAUCCACCAGACAGCUUUCAGCAGGAUGAGCUUGGGGUUAAUUGGAAUGAUGGAAGUCUUGAGUUAGUGGAGCUGAAUCCUGCUGAGCCUUGGCUCAUUGACCCUAAAGUCCCCGAGGAACUUGAAGCUGGAGAAGUGACAGUAAGUACUCAAACUUGCAGCCUUACACAACAAAAAUACACACUGGUCAUGGCUACUGACUUUAGGCCUUUUCAUGACCAGAGGCGA